rfam:Calocera viscosa TTFC12733 unplaced genomic scaffold CALVIscaffold_5, whole genome shotgun sequence.
GGCCGACUGGCCCAAUGGCAAGGCGUCUGACUACGAUGGUGUAAUCAGGAGAUUGCAGGUUCGAUCCCUGCGUCGGUCA